rnacentral:rRNA from 1 species
CAGGAAUGAAACGCUGGCGGCGUGCUUAACACAUGCAAGUCGAACAGAACCAUUGGAUCGAGGAUUCGUCCAAGUGAAGGUGGGGAAAAGGUGGCGGACGGGUGAGUAACGCGUGAGCAAUCUGCCUUGGAUGGGGAAUAGCGGCUGGAAACAGCCGCUAAUACCGCAUGAUACAGCUGGGAGGCAUCUCCCUGGCUGUCAAAGAUUUAUCGCUCUGAGAUGAGCUCGCGUCUGAUUAGCUAGUUGGCGGGGUAACGGCCCACCAAGGCGACGAUCAGUAGCCGGACUGAGAGGUUGGCCGGCCACAUUGGGACUGAGACACGGCCCAGACUCCUACGGGAGGCAGCAGUGGGGAAUAUUAGGCAAUGGGCGCAAGCCUGACCCAGCAACGCCGCGUGAAGGAAGAAGGCUUUCGGGUUGUAAACUUCUUUUGUCAGGGACGAAGCAAGUGACGGUACCUGACGAAUAAGCCACGGCUAACUACGUG